CAGAGGUGCCAAGCGUAGGCGGAAUCACUGGGCUUAAAGCGUGUGUAGGCGGAUUGGUAAGUACCUUGUGAAAUCCCACGGCUCAACCGUGGAACUGCUUGGUAUACUGCCUGUCUUGAGCCACUUAGGGGCUGUCGGAACAAACGGUGGAGCGGUGAAAUGCGUAGAUAUCGUUUGGAACGCCAAAGGUGAAAACAGACAGCUGGGAGUGUGCUGACGCUGAGACACGAAAGCCAGGGGAGCGAACGGGAUUAGAUACCCCGGUAGUCCUGGCCCUAAACGAUGUCGACUAGAUCGUGGCGGCUCUGACGCCUUCACGGUCGAAGCAAAAGUGCUAAGUCGACCGCCUGGGAAGUACGGUCGCAAGGCUA
rnacentral:rRNA from 1 species